rnacentral:ncRNA from 1 species
UUAUUGACUUUGACUGGAAGAGUAGCCUUGUUGAAAUUUUCAGAGACAUAAUCCAUGGCUGGAAGAUUAUGAAGGGAUACAAUGUGAAGAUCAUCCAUGAGUUUGAUUCUUGAAUAGAGUAGGGAAUCACGUUGCAAGCGUUAAUUGUUAAGAGCGGCAGAGCAAGUCUGCAACCUGGGUGGUACCGCGGAGAAUUUUCGUCCCUUGU